UUUUGUUGGUCUUUCUGUGUCAAAUCAAAUGGACUUUUGUUGGUCCUAAUGCGGCACAUCAGAUGGUUUCUUUUGGUCCUAAUGUGUGACACCAUCCGGAGAAUUUGAUUUAGUUUUGUUCCAAAUGAUGUUCCUGAAGCUUUGUGCUUCCUCUCAUAAAACAAUAGAAAAGAUCAGUAAUGACUCAUCUUUCAGAAUCAGUGUUUUGUUGAUCUGGCUCUGUUUUGCUGAUGCUGCUGAUGCUGUUGGAAAUAAUAUUUUUCCAGCUCCGAAACUGAUAUGUUUUGUGUUUGUGCGUGUGUGUACACAUGCACGAGUGCUUAUAUGUGUGUGUGCAUGUUUGUGUGUGUGUGUAUUUACACUAUGUGUGUGAUGUACAUUUGUUAGACACUUGGAGUUGUAUUGUUCAAGGGGACCUGCUCUGCUCUGGAAGCACUCCUGCUUCCUCUGCUAUCACUGGGAAAUUGGGGCCUGUAUUGUACCUUGGUGGGAAAUAACAUCAGACAGAAAACCCAUUUUGUUUCUACCCCUGAGAGCUCUCUCUCCUGCAUCAGCUACAGAGGUGCUUGGUGCGGAGGUAGGUUUGUUUGACUCCUUUACGAGGGGCCAUUUACUAAUGUAUUUUAUCGCCGUAAUACUGUGGGAUUCUAAUUACACUGAUUUGUCUCUUACUUCAAAGCUUGUGCUGAUUGUACUCAUUAGAUCGAAAUUGAACUGGGAUUUAUUAAAUGGGCAUCACAUCGCCCACAGUUCAUUCUGAGAGAAUGAAGGCAACACUUGUGAGCUGUGUUUUACCUUUUAUUUAUUCUUGAAAUAGCCUGUUGUAUUACUAGUAGUAAUAAUUUCGAUCAUCUCAGUCAAGCCAUAGAAGUACAUUAUUAUCAAUGGUUUGUUAAUACUUGGCAAGUUAUUUUCCAUUCAUUUUAAAUGUGAGAAUAGGCAUUGGUAAUAGACUGAAUUCAGUCAACUCUUUGCCCAUCAGAUCUUUUCCCUGUUCGGUCAUUCACAGCUUUGGUGAAACAUUGUUGUAUAAGGUUUUAUAAGCCCACCAGGGGUAUGAGUACCAUGUACACUAGGACUGAUUUGAAUUAUUUGUGUACCUUGGCUAUUCCGCUCCUACUCUGCAUGGGCUCACAGAGAGAGAGUUGUUGUGGGUGUUAAAUGGUUGUCAUUAAACUGCAAGCCCAUAGUACUAUAUAAAGCCUAUGUAAUUACCACAGUAUUAAUCUAUCUAUAUUCCACCAUUUAACAGAGGAAAUCUCCGCACUGUCAUGGCAAUUUUUGCUCACAGGUAAAUGUCAAAACAUUAACCUUGAGUGGGUGAAUGCUAUGACAUGAUAAAUCGGGCCAUGCUCCACCAUUAUUUCCAACCUCUGUAAUCUGGUAAACAGAGGAAAGGUGGUAGUUUAGUAGAGCAUUCUGCUUUCCUCUGAAACUAUGUGUACUGGGUUCAUUCGUACUGCACCAGUAUACAUGAGGCAUUGGAAUAACAACAUAUGAUCUAAGAGACCAUUUUUAAUUCAGCAAAACAAAGGUAAUUUGUGAUUUAGAUAAAGACAUUCAUUAAAGAUCUAACGUUAGCAAUAGAUUAUUUUGAAUUUAAGAUUCAUUUCGAUGAAGAUCAAAGACAUUGCAUGCAUUACAGUUGAAGGUGUAUUCAGAUCAGUGAGGAGGGACGGUCAGAGACCAUGACAGAUGGAGGUGUGUUCAGAUCAGUGAGGAGGGCUGGUCAGAGACCAUGACAGAUGGAGGUGUGUUCAGAUCAGUGAGGAAGGACGGUCAGAGACCAUGACAAAUGGAGGUGUGUUCAGAUCAGUGAGGAGGGCUGGUCAGAGACCAUGACAGAUGGAGGUGUGUUCAGAUCAGUGAGGAGGGACGGUCAGAGACCAUGACAGAUGGAGGUGUAUUCAGAUAAGUGAUGAUGAAAGACCACGGAUGCCAGAGGCUUUGUUGACAAUGUGUUAUUGCUACUGAUUUGUAAUCUUCUAUUUUAGCACUGUAUCACCUUCCUGCACGGUCUCUUUUAAACAUGUUUCAAAAUGGCACUGUCUAUACAGUAAUUGGUAUAUUGGGAGGCCCCUCCCCUGUCCUCUCUAUACAGUAAUGAGUAUAUUGAGAGGCCCCUCCCCUAUCCUCUCUAUACAGUAAUGAGUAUAUUGAGAGGCCCCUCCCCUAUCCUCUCUAUACAGUAAUUGGUAUAUUGGGAGGCCCCUCCCCUGUCCUCUCUAUACAGUAAUUGGUAUAUUGGGAGGCCCCUCCCCUGUCCUCUCUAUACAGUAAUGGGUAUAUUGGGAAGCCCCUCCCCUGUCCUCUCUAUACAGUAAUGAGUAUAUUGAGAGGCCCCUCCCCUGUCCUCUCUAUACAGUAAUGAGUAUAUUGGGAAGCCCUUCCCCUGUCCUCUCUAUACAGUAAUGGGUAUAUUGGGAAGCCCCUCCCCUGUCCUCUCUAUACAGUAAUUGGUAUAUUGGGAAGCCCCUCCCCUAUCCUCUCUAUACAGUAAUUGGUAUAUUGGGAAGCCCCUCCCCUGUCCUCUCAAUACAUUAAUGGGUAUAUUGGGAGGCCCCUCCCCUCAAUUUACACUAAUGAGUAUAUUGAGAGGCCCCUCCCCUAUCCUCUCUAUACAGUAAUUGGUAUAUUGGGAGGCCCCUCCCCUGUCCUCUCUAUACAGUAAUGAGUAUAUUGAGAGGCCACUCUCCUGUCCUCUCUAUACAGUCAUGAGUAUAUUGGGAGGCCCCUCCCCUCUCCUCUCUAUACAAUAAUGGUUAUAUUGGAAAGCCCAUCCCCUCACUGUACAGUAAUGGGAUUUAUGGAGAGCCCCUCCCCACAUAUAAUAUUUGAUAUAUUGCAGAGCCUAUGUUGGAGAGCCCCUCCCCUCCCCUCUAUAUACAAUAAUCGGUAUAUUGGAGCGCCCCUCCCCUUUCUAUACAGUAAUUGGUAUAUUGGAGAGUCCCUCCCCUUUCUAUACAGUAAUUGGUAUAUUGGAGAGUCCCUCCCCUUUCUAUACAGUAAUUGGUAUAUUGGAGAGUCCCUCCCCUUUCUCUACAGUAAUGGGUAUAUUGGAGAGUCCCUCCCCUUUCUAUACAGUAAUGGGUAUAUUGGAGAGCCCAUCCCCUUUCUAUACAGUAAUGGGUAUAUUGGAGAGCCCCUCCCCUUUCUAUACAGUAAUGGGUAUAUUGGAGAGCCCCUCCCCUCAUCUGCAUCUACCACAUAGUUCCUAAAGAGAGCAUAGAGCAGCCAGAGAGAACGUGCCUCCGUUUCAGCACGGAACAGUGGGUGCAGCAGUGAAUUAGGAGGUACAUUUUGUCUCAGAACAGGUGUUACAUCAAGUACUUGGACAACACUCUAUUUAAUAAAGAACAGAGCUGGAGCCAUGAUCAAGGCUGCUUUUGGUGGCUUGGUUUCCCAUCCAAGAUUCACCUGACAGAUGACGGACGUUCUGCAUGCUACUUGCCAAGAGCCAGAUUGUAUUAAUAGCAAAAAUGAAUCAAGUCAAGAACAGCUCUGCAGCUUUCACCCAGAAUAUUCCCCUGGAAAAUAUUCUCUUCUUUGAACCUGAUUCAACCUUGUAAUAAAUAAUUGUGCAGAUAGCUUCACCAAGACUCCAAUAUUACCAAGGCAACAAAUGACUCUUUAUCAAGGUAAUAUUUCCAUACUCCAGUAUUUCCAAUGCUUAGCUCAGGGCACUCAGAGUUUUCCUUCAUUAAUUUUAACAGUAUAAAGGCUAUGGAUAGUGAGCAAAUGAUGGCUAUGAGAAAAGGUCAGCGUUUCCCAAGCGUAUAUCAGUGUUGGCAUGCUCCUCUGCCCUCUGCUAGGUGCCAUUUGAAAGGCUUUUCUUGGCACAGAACCCUGCUAGACACCCCACCCCGCUUUGUGUCUGUUGGGAAACUGGAUGAGAACUUAAAUUGAAGUGGUCCAAAAAUACCAUAGAGAGUCCAUGUUUAAUUGCUUGGUAUUAUUGCAAUAUGCCCAUUCUCUGUGGUGCUGCUCUCCCCCCGGUCUCGGUAGGCAGCAAAGGGCUUAAUUGAAUUCCAGAAAAAUGUGAGCCUGUGUGUUUCCCCCAUCGUGGGGAAUCUAAAUGCAGCUCUCUCUGGUGUUUAGCCAUGGGGAGCUGUCCUUGGUGCUGGAAGGCUGGCUGACGUUCAAGAUUUGCAUUUAGCUGUACUGAGUACUCUGCUAAACUCAGGCACUCUCAGUGGAGGGAAACUUAGGUUCUGUACCAUGUCCAGUGGUUAGAUCUCUGUUAGCCUGCUACAAAUAGCAUGCCUGAACACCCGCAAAGUAACUUCAAACCGGUAAUGUUAGGGUAAUAUUAUUCCUUCAGAGGUUUAACAUGAUGCGCGUAUCAUUGAAGAGUACUAUUGCGGUUGACUUGAACAUAUUGCCUCAGUGGUGAACAAGCUCCCAGACCGUUAUAUUUCCGUUGUACCCAUAACAAUGAGACACAAUAUGUAGUGAAUUACUAAUAUCGUUGCCUUUAUGCACUUAACUUGUUUGAAAUGAAAAUGACUAAACAGUGACCAUUUAAAAUGGGCUUGGAUGCUAUGUGUAGAGCAUCAACAACAAGCCAUCGAAGGCAUUGUAAUAAGAGUCAUUCUUAUUAGAGCUUGGGUUAAUUAACUAACACAAGCAAUGCACUGUGCAGAUGCAGACCAGAGGAUUUGUUUUGUGGAGCUAAAUGAUUUUCAUCUCUGAGGUCAUGAUUGACUAUCAUUAGGCAGGCUUCGGCUCUGUCUGGAUUAAAGGCUUGUACUCUAUUUCGUGCAAGAGGCUUCAGUUAGACUUUCACUUCAUGAAAUGCAUAAGAUGUUAAGCACCAUGAAUUAGAUCAGGCCCAGCCUUUGGAUUCAUUAAUUGUAUAGAAAAGUAAUGUCAGAUCUAAUUAACCGCUCAUUAGCGGAUCAUAAAGGGCACUUGCACAAUUUUAUUGAAAUAUUGCUUCCACCAUUCAGCCCUAUGGUCAUUCUGCAGGGAGAGCAUGUAAACUUGAGGGGAGGGAAGCCAUACUGACAUGUAGCCCUCUAGGGAUGUGGGGUUUUGAGGGAGAAUUAUUUACAGUGACUGGAACUAUCACUUUUUAUGAGAGAAACUCAGAGAGCACGACUUGUCUGGAGGAUCCCACAGUACAGCUACAGAUUACCUAUAGAGUCAGGAUCUACCGGAGACUAUGGCUGGAGACCAGGUAAACAAACAUGAACUAAUACAGAUACCUGCAUCGAUAGGUUCCUUUCUCCCAUGAUCUUCACCACAGAGAGUAUAUUGUGCACUGCGGUGGUGGUGCUGUUUAGAAGUUAGUGGGUGAGGUCAUCCUAUUACUACCACUAGACCAAGACGAUAGGCUUUCUGAACUCUAGUGAUGGCCCUACAAAAGCAUAUAAUGGAGGUAAUUUUUUAAAUAUUUUUAUGUGAAUGGGCUCUUCUGUGAACCAAUCCAGUGAAGUGGACAAAUGCAUGAGAAGGACGACUAGAAUGUAUCUGGGUUUUAAUGGGGAUCUCUAUUAAUGCACCCUUCAAUUUAUAUUGAAAUUCUUCCAUGGAAUUAUUUUCUCUCUGACACUAUAUCCAAUCUAAAGCAAUUUAGUUUCUCUUUUUGGACUGGAGUUUGAAAAUCAUUCUUAACAUGUAAAUUUUGUCUAAUAAUAAUUUAAUGGAAAGAGAAGGGAAUCUCACCUGAGAAAUCCAAAGAUUCCUGAACCAGUAUUAUUAACAGAUCAACAGUAUUUACAGUAUGUCAAGUGACAUCAAUAUCAUGUUAAAUGAAGAGUUAUGUACAAAAUAGCACUAUAACUCAUAUCAAAUGUAUGAGUCCAACAAAAAAGUCCCCAUUAGUUUCCUCUGUAUUUAAAAAUUGCAGACGUGGUCUGCAGUGUAAGGGUGGCUGAGACGGAUACCUCCCUGAAUUAGGGCAUUAAAUGAAUGGGGAUUUUGGCAAUGGCAGUCAUGUUUUCCCAGAGUAAAUGAUGUCUGAGUUUCUCUUGGGUCAAAGACUCCCAGCAGCUAAUUAAUAGUGCCUGUUUUAAAAGCUACACAAUAAAAUUGAAGUAAUUUACUGUUCCAAUCACUGGCUGUAAAGUCUUGGAGCCAGCAAGCAGAUCCCAAUCCACAUGUUGACACGUGAAACAGAUGCAGUAUGUCCAGUAGAGAAAUAUGCUGACUUAACCACAAUGAACCAACCGACUACAGAGAACAAAGAGAGCUGAACCACUGAAUCAACCAACUACAGAGAGCUGAAGCACUGAACCAACUGACUACAGAGAACAAAGAGAGCUGAACCACUGAACCAACUGACUACAGAGAACAGAGAGAGCUGAAGCACUGAACCAACUGACUACAGAGAACAAAGAGAGCUGAACCGCUGAACCAACUGACUACAGAGAAAAGAGAGAGCUGACUGAAGUGGUUUUCUACAUUUUGUUAUGUUACAGCCUUUUUCUAAAAUGGUUUAAAUGAAAAAAAAUCCUCAUCAAUCUACGCACAUUACCCCAUAAUGACAAAGCGAAAACUGUUUAGGCAUUUCUGAAAAUGUCUUAACAAUAAAAAAACUGAAAUAUCUUAUUCAUAUAAGUAUUCCGACCCUUUGCUUUGAGACUCAAAAUUAGCUUAGGUGCAUUCUGUUUCCAUUGAUCAUCCUUAACUGGACUCCACCUGUGGUAUAUUCAAUUGACUGGACAUGAUUUUGAAAGGCACAUACCUGUCUAUAUAAGGUCCCACAUUUGGCAGUGCUUGUCAGAGCAAAAACCAAGCUAUGAGGUUGAAGGAAUUGUCCUUAGAGCUACGAUACAGGACUGUGUUGAGGCAUAGAUCUGGGGAAGGGUACCAAAAAACGUUCUGCAGAGUUGAAGGUCCCAAAGAACACAGUGGCCUCCAUCCUUCUUAAAUGGAAGAAGUUUGGAACCACCAAGACUUUUACUAGAGCUGGCCCCCCGGCCAAAUUGAGCAAUUGGGGGAGAAGGGCCUUCAUCAGGGAGGUGACAAAGAACCCGAUGGUCACUCUGACAGAGCUCCAGAGUUCCUCUGUGGAGAUGGAAGAACCUUCUAGAAGGACAACCAUCUCUGUAGCACUCCACCAAUCAGGCCUUUAUGGUAGAUUGGCCAGACGGAAGCCACUCCUCAGUAAAAGGCACAUGACAGCCCUCUUGGAGUUUCUCAGACCAUGAGAAACAACAGGCUCUGGUCUGAUGAAACCAAGAUGAAACUCUUUGGCCUGAAUGCCAAGCGUCAUGUCUGGAGGAAACCUGGCACCAUCCCUACGGUGAACCAUGGUGGUGGCAGCAUCAUGCUGUGGGGAUGUUUUUCAGCGGCAGGGACUGGGAGACUAGUCAGGUUUGAGGGAAAUAUGAACGGAGCAAAUACAGAGGUAUCCUUGAUGAAAACCUGCUCCAGAGUGCUCAGGACCUCAGACUGGGGCGAAGGUUUACCUUCCAACAGGACAACGACCCUAAGAACACAGCCAAGACAAUGCAGGAGUGGCUUCGGGACAAGUCUCUGAAUGUCCUUGAGUGGCCCAGCCAGAGCCCGGACUUGAAGUCGAUCAAACAUCUCUGGAGAGACCUGAUAAUAUUUGUGCAGCAACGCUCGCCAUCCAACCUGACAGAGCUUGAGAGAAUCUGCAGAGAAGAAUGGGAGAACCCUCCCCCAAAUACAGGUGCGCCAAGCUUGUAGCGUCAUACCCAAGAAGACUUGAGGCUGUAAUCGCUGCCAAAGGUGCUUCAACAAAGUACUGAGUAAAGGGUCUGAAUACUUAUGUAAAUGUCUUAUUUCAGUUUUUUAUAUGCAUUUACAAAAAAUAAACAGUUUUUGUCUUAUUAUUAUGUGGUAUUGUGUGUAGAUUGAUAAAGAAGAAAAACAACAAUUUAAUCCAUUUUAGAAUAAGAAUGUAACAUAACAAAAUGUGGAAAAAGUGAAUACUUUGUAUAUUCUCUGUGUGAGGCACAAUACGUUUUUAAGUAUCCUGACCUCCUCGGAAUUUAGCUUUGAGCGCCUCUGCAGUCCUAAAAUUGUUAAUUAAUGUUACAAUUGCAGGGGUGCAUUGUUUUAAGGACAUACACAAGAACAUGAAUUCAGCUCUGGUGCUGGUCUUCAGUGAACUGAUAAUUGCCUCUAAAGACAACCUCUGAACUGUAGAAACUUGGAGUGGAGACAUCUUACAUAAUUUUAAAUGAUAGGUUUCUGACCUGAUUUGUGUCUUAUCAGAUUGCUAAAACAGAAGAGUAUCAAGGCACAAGGCGAGACCCAGAUGCAGACACAGGAGGCAGAUGGUUGGAGUCUUAAAAUGUUUAUUAAUCCAAAGGGGUAGGCAAGAGAAUGGUCGUGGACAGGCAAACGGUCAAAACCAGAUCAGAGUCCAGGAGGUAUAGAGCGGCAGGCAGGCUUGAGGUCAAGGCAGGCAGAAUGGUCAGGCAAGCGGGUACAAAGUCCAGAAACAGGCAAGGGUCAAAACCGGGAGGACUAGAAAAAAGAGAAUGCAAAAAGCUGGAGAACGGGAAAAACACUGGUUGACUUGGAAAACAUACAAGACGAACUGGCACAGAGAGACAGGAAACACAGGGAUAAAUGGGGGGGCCAGGACAGAGUUUGGUAAACCCUGGUCUAAGUGCCUAUGUCACAUAUCUAUACAUCACAUACAAGCAUUUCACUACACCCGCAAUAACAUGUGCUAAACGUGUAUGCAACAAAUAAAAUGUUAUUUGAUUUGAACAUAACUUGGGUGUCAAACAAGGCUGUCUCCUUUACCCUCUCAACAUACUUUAAAUGAAUGUGUCUUAUCCCUUGAGACCACCACCAUGAUACCCUGAUUAAAGUUGGGUUUUGAUUGAGAAAUCCCAAAUUCUACUUGACCUGAAGGGGUAUAUUAAUAAGCGUCAAAUGAUCGACAGAUCACUCUGUAAUAAUGCCCCCUAGCAGUAAUAUCAAAUAAGAUAAGGUUAUGCAAAUAGAUCUAAGAUUGAUUGAGAUUUCACUCAAUUAUUGAGGCCCCAGGAGAUAUGGAGGAGUACAUUACCAGAAACCAAGGUAACCGUCAGACCACCUUGUCCUCAUCCCAACCCCUGAACCGCCAGGUGGAAAAAAGAACUGUUGGUCUUCCCUGUUCCCUAUUCCCCUCCAAAACAGAAUAGAAAAUAAGCACUUCUAAGCCUCCGCUACACGGCUUGAAAACUGAAUGUGUUGUUGAGUGCCGGACUGAGUUGGCCCCGGCACAACACAGGAGAUCUCGGUGUUCCUGCUGAGUUCAUUUGGUCCCUGAGCGUCAAUACAUUCCAACACUGUGAUGCACUUUUCAGUUUAUGCCUCUCAUUGUAGUCAUCUACUCAGCAGCCCUGAGGCCCCCGUUGAUAUAUGGGAUCUUAAGUGUUAUUGACUUGUCUCUCUUCUUUUGUUCUUAUGAACGCAAAUCUCAGUCAAAACUAGCCUUAAUGUACCAUAGCAAAGCAUCCAAGAAUAAGUUUUGCUCUUAUCUUGAAAUUGUCUUAUUUUUAUU
rnacentral:lncRNA from 1 species